CCUACGGGAGGCAGCAGUGGGGAAUAUUGCACAAUGGGCGAAACCCUGAUGCAGCGACGCCGCGUGAGUGAAGAAGUAUUUCGGUAUGUAAAGCUCUAUCAGCAGGAACGAGACAAGACGGUACCUGACUAAGACGCCCCGGCUAACUACGGGCCAGCAGCCGCGGUAAUACGUAGGGGGCAAGCGUUAUCCGGAAUCACUGGGUGUAAAGGGAGCGUAGACGGCUGUGCAAGCCUGAAGUGAAAGGUGGGGGCCCAACCCCUGGACUGCUUUGGGAACUGUACGGCUGGAGUGCAGGAGAGGUAAGUGGAAUUCCUGGUGUAGCGGUGAAAUGCGUAGAUAUUAGGAGGAACACCAGUGGCGAAGGCGGCUUACUGGAGUGUAACUGACGUUGAGGCUCGAAAGCGUGGGUAGCAAACAGGAUUAGAUACCCCGGUAGUC
rnacentral:rRNA from 1 species